rnacentral:lncRNA from 1 species
UUUCUCUGUCAAAGAUCCAAUGAAUACGAAACUUUUAUAAACCUAUCAAAACAAGUCAACAACCUAUAAGAGUAUUUGUACCCGUUAGGCAAAGACAAUUGCUGAUUUGCCAAUUGAAUUGCCUCUACUAAUUCACUAUUAAUCUGAAAUUGGCAAUUGCUUAUCCCUUGUCUAUGCACCAGUUGAAGGCAAUUUGCCUACUAAUGUACUAUUCACAUUUUAUAUUUGAAUAAUUCAUUAAUUGAAAAUGUUAAACUUUGAUGAAGGAAGAAGAUGAGGAGGUAACCUUUGAAAGUUUUGGUGUGAGAAAUUAUAAAAAGAGGAUGAGUAUUUAGAGGAGUAGUUUUCUAUUUUUUCUUUAUUUAUAAAUAAAUUUUUAAGUGAAAACAGGGAAAAAAAAUAAGACUAUCGUUGUUAUUUAAUUAUAGUCACAUGAUUAAAAUCUAAUGGUUAUAGUCAAAAAGCCGUUAUAGUUUUUACAGUUGAAAUAGAGUCUGACAUUUGAUAGACAACGGUUAUUUCAGUGGGACCCAUUGAAUUAUUCGAACAAAUUAGUUACCAAAAAUUGACAAUCCAAUUGCCUUAGCAAUUUGAGUGAGGCCGGUCCCAAUAAUUGCCCGAGCGAAACUCAAGCGGUGUAUUCCAUCUUUUGUAGAAAGUGGAUGGAUCCCAGUAAUUACCCAUUAAAUUACUCUAACGGUGCAAAUGCUCUAAGCAGAUAAUUUUUUUUACUUUAUUACUGUCACUGUCACUGUAGUAGCAGUUGAUGUUGCUACUAUGAAACUGCAGCUGCUAUUGCUACUAUCUAAGUCUUUCCUUGUAUCUAAUUUUCUAAAAUUAAAAAAUAGCUUAUUUAAUCUGGACCGUCAGAUCAAUUAGGGUUUUAAUCUCAGCCAUUGAUUCGAGUAUAAAAAUAAGAGAGAUGGGUUGACUCUGUCAAAACCCAAACUCGGGCGUUGACCUGAUCCCAGACCAGUCUUUCUCUCCUCUCUCUCUUCAUCUCUGGUGACCCACAAUGGAGCGACGUUGUCCGACCACCGCUCGCUACCUGACCACCACCAAAACACUCAUCUCCUUCUCUUCUAUCUACCCCAACCUUCAAAUCCUACAUACAACCAUCUUUGGAGGGGAUCGACGUCAUGAAGCCUCGGCUGUUUUCUGGUCAUACCUCGAGAUUCCGGCCACGAUUCGGCAAAUCAGUGGUAUGGUUUUCAUUCUCUCUCCCCCCCCCCCCCCUUUCUAUUUUUAUGUCCUUGUAUGUUUGAUUUGUACUUCUCAAAUCAGCGAAGAAGGAAGACUGCUAGACUAUGCUAGAAUAUUUCUCUAAGUUUCUGUAUGAAUGAAUGAUGAUUUGAGAAGUACAUAUGACUGUCUUUAUAUAGUGAAUAUCUUGGUGAAACUUCUCUUCCAAAAUGAUGUGGGACUAGGUGCCCAUGUUUGACUUUUCUUCUUCCUUUAUAGAUUUUGAAUCCAAAUUUACUUCUCCUUCUAAAAUGAUGUGGGACUAGGUGAACAAGUUUGACUUUUCUCUUUCUUUUUUGGACUUGGAAUUCAAAUUUACUUCUCCUUCCUUUUUUUACUUGGAAUCCUAUUUGCAAGGGAGAUUAUAUUUUAUUAAGUCAUCAAACCAACAAAAAUUAAAUAAAUAGGAUAUAAGAUUAAACAAUAUACUCCCCUAUUUAAUUCCUCAAAUCUUAGAUGACAACUCAUGAUGAAUUUCUUCCUUCAAUUUCUCCUUUUUGACGUCAAGAUCCUUAAGGGAUUGACGUGAUAUAUAUCUCCUUUCUUGCACGGUAAGAAGGGAUUCUUUGCUUUUUUCUGUAUGAUCUCUUAUUUCUGCGAUUUAGUCUUUUUUCUCAAUUAAGCUCUUUAUACCUCUAAUAUCACAAAAUAUAUUAGAAGUAGCGUUAUUAUGAGAAUAUCAUAGCUAAAUAGUGUAGGAAACACAUUAUAAACGUAACACUUUGUGCUCAUAACAAGGAGGCCGAGGAGCAAUUGGGUUUUAUUACAGUCAUUGUCACUGUAGUAGCAGUUGAUGUUGCUACUAUGUAACUGCAACUGCUAAGGCUGGGCGUUCAGGCCUAAAAGCCCAGAAAAACAAAACAAAAAGCCUGAUCGGUCCCUAUCGGGCCGGUCCAAAUUGGGAGGAGUUUGGUUCGGGCUAUAGAUCGGCCCGUUGACUUUCAGUUCGGUUCGGGCUCGCAACCUGCACCGAAAGCCCGUUUAAGCCCGAGACACACAAUUUUUGCCACGCGUCAGCAUCUUAUAUAUUGGUCAAUAUAAUUUUUUAUUAAAAAAAAAACGAUAAAACUAAAGAGUCUUCGACUCUUUUCUGGGUUUUCUCUGCACCUCUUACUCUCUCUCUCUUCUCUUCUAACACUUAAAGGCAAAACCCAAAAGAAUAUCUCGUUCUUAUUCCUCCACAACAUAGAGGUAUUCAUCGAUUUUGAUCUCACCCAAGUGCUUGUUUCUCUUUUUUGGUUUGUUAUUCUUUGUGGGUUUCGUGGUUUUGGUUUAGAUGCGCAGUAAAAGUUGUUCAAUUUUGUGUGGAUUUCUUGAAGUAAUUGUUAUUUCUAUCAUGUUUCGACUAAUGGGUUUUAGACUUUUAGGAUGAUGUGGUGUAGUUCUUGAUGGGUUUUGUAUCAGUAGAAGAAAGAUUGUUUAAAUUGAUGGGUGAUGAUGCUUGAAUUGUAGGUUUGUAGCUUGAAUUGGGGAUUGUCUUAUUGACCUGAUUAUUCGUUGGGUAGGGUUUUUCCUCUAGAUUGUUUUCUUGAUUUGAACAUUAUAUUCGUCUUGAUCUGCCUUUUGUAUGUGAACUCAAUAAUUCAGUCUUAGAAUCUAGAAUAGAAGAAACUUUUCGGUGUUCAACUAGUAUUAAAUCUCUGUACAUUGUCCACAAAGUGAUCUUCCCUACCACUGUAAUGGUUAUUGGUUGUUACUAUUAGAGUUGCAGAUUCAAAAGUACUAUUGAUGUAUUUUGAUUUUCAAUUUUAUUUCACAGUUAAGAUUGAAUGCAUGGAAAGAUUGUAUCUUAUGGUAUCCUUUAUUGUAAAGCAUUGUCAGGCAUAUAUAUCUAGAGCAUUACAAAACAUUAAGGAAGAUGGAUCUUGUAUCCCAAGCAUGUUAAGUGAUAAGAAAAAGAAAAGAAAAAAAAAAGAAAGUUAACCGACCUCUUAGGUAUUGAAUUGUCACCUGUGUUGGUGUGAAGUGAUAAAGAAAAAAAAAAGAAAGAAGAAGAGAUUUAUGGACUUGCAGAAUGUGGUAUUUCCUUUUUAUGAGAUUUAUGGUCUAGGAUUUGAAUACCCUUCUUCUUUACAGUUUACUCUGUUUGAGGCGCACUUACUAAAAAAUAAUGCCAUGUACUAUAAAUAGUGCCCUGUUAUGGAACUUAUACCUAAUUCUUCUCCUAUUUUGCGUCCUUUUCAGCCUCUGAAAUGGGAACUCAAGCAAAAACCAGGAAUUAGUCCUCCUCGUGGAGGGUUUAGGCCAGAUGACCCCAACCAACAAAUAGUUGCCGAGGAGGAUAUAUUUGAUGAGUAUGGAGGUAUUUAUUUUUGGAUUUAAGUUCAUUCUGGAAUACACAUGUAUAUCUUGUGUCUUUGUCGUUCAUGCAAAAUAACUAGAUUUCUACCUUCUUACUGUAUAUAUGAUGCACAUAACACAAUGUGAUUAGGUCUAGUCACAAUCUACACAAUACAUUGUCUACCUUCUUACUUUGUUAAUUACUGAAUGUUACAAACUGAAGAAGGUUGUUUGUUUUUUAUUUUCAGACAUUGAUGUUUGUAUUUCUUAUUACCAAUGUUCUAAAAGGAGCUAGGCGCUAGGCGGGCGGUAACUCACAGCCUAGAGCCUGGACAGCCUAGGCGAGGAUUAGGCGGGGACUAAGCGAUUUGUAUUUUUUAAGAUUUAUUAAUUAAAAAAAUAUAUUUAAUACAAUUUAAUAUUUAAAAACGGUUAAAUAUAGAUAAAUUAUUCAACAUAAUCUAGCUAUACCCCUUUAUAAAAUAAAUUAUAACUAAAAUUUAGCAUAACUUCCUGUAAAAGUGAGCAACAACAACAAUAAACAUAUACAUUUCUAAUUUUAAACACACAAUUAACUCUUAUACUCCCCACAAUAUAACAAUCCCACCACAAAAAGAAAACAAAAUUAGCCUGAGAGCUUAGCAGCCUAGGCGGGCAAGGUGGCAUCUAGGCGGGCUAGGCGGGCUAGGCGGCAUUUAGGCGAGCUAAGCGGCCGCUUAAUCGCCCACAGCCUAGCACAAAGGCCUGGAAGAAAAGCGAGGCGGCUUGUUGCAGCUUGUUGCAGCCUAGAGCCUAGGCGGGGACUAGGCGGUCCUAGCGGGGCGUUUUAGAAGCUUGCUUAUUACAGAUACUUGGGAAGAACCUGUUUAUAGUGUUGAGGGAGAAAUGGGGAGCAAGAAUGAACUCAGUAAAAGAUUUGGGGCAAGAGAUUUUGAGUCAAGUAGAUGUCAUGCUGAUGUUGGUUGAUGUCAUUUUGAGUCAGAUGAUGUUGGUUUAUCCAUUUAGUUUCGUUGAUCUGUAAUAAUUAUGUUUGGUUAUUGUUUGCUAUGUUUUGUGUUGGACUAUUGGGAUUUGAAUGAUCCCAUAAUGAACUAAUGAAGGGAAAUGGGCUUAAAAUGUAUUGAUUACAGUUGCACUGCAAUAAUCAUGUUUGGGCCCGAAAAUACCUGAAAGCCCGAAAAAAAGUUAAACGGGCCGGGCUCAGUCAGGCUUAAAAACUGAAAAGGCCCGACCCGAUAUUUUCAGGUUUCGGGUCUGGUUUUCUGAAAACCUGAACUGGCCCGACCCGAGCCCAGCCUUAGCAUCUGCUAUUGCUACUAUGCAAGUCUUUCCUUGUAUCUAAUUUUCUGAAAUAAAAAAAUAGCUUAUUUAAUCUGGACCAUCAGAUCAAUUAGGGUUUUAAUCUUACCGUUGAUUCGAGUAUAAAAAUGGGAGAGAUGAGUUGACUAUGUCAAAAGCCAAACUCAGGCGUUGACCCGAGCCCAGACCAGUUUCUCUCUCCUCUCUCUCUUCAUCUCUGGUGACCCACGAUGGAGCGACGCUGUCCGGCCACCACUCGCUACCUGACCACCACCAAAACACUCAUCUCCUUCUCUUCUACCUACCCCAACCUUCAAAUUCUACAUACAACCAUCUUUGGAGGGGAUCGACGCCAUGAAGCCUCGGCUGUUUUCUGGCCAUACCUCGAGAUUCCGGCCACGAUUCGGCAAAUCUGCGGUAUGGUUUUCUUUCUCUCUCCCCCCUCUUCUAUUCUAUGUCCUUGUAUGUUUGAUUUGUACUUCUCAAAUCAGCGGAGAAGGAAAACUGCUAGCCUAUGCUAGAAUAUUUUUCUAAGUUUCUGCAUAAAUGAAUGAUGAUUUGAGAAGUACAUAAGGCGGUCUUUAUAUAGUGAAUAUCUUGGUGAAACUUCUCUUCCAAAAUGAUAUGGGACUAGGUGCUCAUGUUUGACUUUUCUCCUUCCUAUAUAGACUUGGAAUCCAAAUUUAUUUCUCCUUCCAAAAUGAUGUGGCAUUAGGUGAACAAGUUUGACUUUUCUUCUUCCUUUUGGACUUGGAAUCCAAAUUUCCUUUAUAGACUUGGAAUCCAAAUUUAUUUUUCCUUCCAAAAUGAUGUGGGACUAGGUGAACAAGUUUGACUUUUCUUCUUCCUUUUGGACUUGGAAUCCAAAUUUACUUCUCCUUCCUUUUUUUACUUGGAAUCCUAUUUGCAAGGGAGAUUAUAUUUUAUUAAGUCAUCAAAC